UACACCUCAACUCGGGUAGGACUACCCGCUGAACUUAAGCAUAUCAUA
rnacentral:rRNA from 1 species